ensembl:lncRNA
GGGAGCCGCCCUGCAGCGUGUUUUCGCCAACCGGCCUAAAUUGAAAACAUCACACUUGACUCCCCUCACAUGUUUUGGCCGUCGGUGUUGAAUACUGCAAAUUAGAGUUCGUUAAAAGAUUAUUCAGGAAAGCCGUUUCCUGGUAAGAAAGGUCCGACUGACGGACAAAAUAUUUCUCUUGAGCACUUUAACUUUAACGAUGAAAAGAUUGAGGCAACUCGAAAUUCGUACCGGUGUCUCCGGGGGCCCAGAUGGCGUUCCAGCGCUCGCUCACUGCAGACUGCAGCCAUGUGAAAGUGCUCUGCUCACGCCUCAACAGUAGCUGAACGGGAACUGGAAGGUGUCCUUGAGCUCACCUGUGGGACACGCUCACAUGCACUGAAGACACGGGCGGCGUCGAUGAAUGACACAGCCGGACUCGCUGCCAGCAACACACACAGAGGGCGCUUCAUUCUCGG